GGGUUGUGAGGUUAAGCGACUAAGCGUACACGGUGGAUGCCCUGGCAGUCAGAGGCGAUGAAGGACGUGCUAAUCUGCGAUAAGCGUCGGUAAGGUGAUAUGAACCGUUAUAACCGGCGAUUUCCGAAUGGGGAAACCCAGUGUGAUUCGUCACACUAUCAUUAACUGAAUCCAUAGGUUAAUGAGGCGAACCGGGGGAACUGAAACAUCUAAGUACCCCGAGGAAAAGAAAUCAACCGAGAUUCCCCCAGUAGCGGCGAGCGAACGGGGAGCAGCCCAGAGCCUGAAUCAGUGUGUGUGUUAGUGGAAGCGUCUGGAAAGGCGCGCGAUACAGGGUGACAGCCCCGUACACAAAAAUGCACAUAUUGUGAGCUCGAUGAGUAGGGCGGGACGACGUGGUAUCCUGUCUGAAUAUGGGGGGACCAUCCUCCAAGGCUAAAUACUCCUGACUGACCGAUAGUGAACCAGUACCGUGAGGGAAAGGCGAAAAGAACCCCGGCGAGGGGAGUGAAAAAGAACCUGAAACCGUGUACGUACAAGCAGUGGGAGCCUUGAUUUAUCAGGGUGACUGCGUACCUUUUGUAUAAUGGGUCAGCGACUUAUAUUCUGUAGCAAGGUUAACCGAAUAGGGGAGCCGAAGGGAAACCGAGUCUUAACUGGGCGUUAAGUUGCAGGGUAUAGACCCGAAACCCGGUGAUCUAGCCAUGGGCAGGUUGAAGGUUGGGUAACACUAACUGGAGGACCGAACCGACUAAUGUUGAAAAAUUAGCGGAUGACUUGUGGCUGGGGGUGAAAGGCCAAUCAAACCGGGAGAUAGCUGGUUCUCCCCGAAAGCUAUUUAGGUAGCGCCUCGUGAAUUCAUCUCCGGGGGUAGAGNACUG
rnacentral:rRNA from 1 species